rnacentral:rRNA from 1 species
UACGAAGGUCCCGAGCGUUGUUCGGAAUCACUGGGCGUAAAGGGCGCGUAGGCGGCGUGGUAAGUCAGAUGUGAAAUCCCGGGGCUCAACCCCGGAACUGCAUCCGAUACUGCCAUGCUAGAGGAUUGGAGAGGUAGCUGGAAUUCUUGGUGUAGCAGUGAAAUGCGUGGAGAUCAAGAGGAACACUCGUGGCGAAAGCGAGCUACUGGACAAUAUCUGACGCUGAGGCUCGAAGGCCAGGGUAGCGAAAGGG